UGUUGCUCCCCACACACCGCAGGCGUCCGCUGGUCUCCCCGCCGGAGCCCGACAGCGCCUUCCACCCGGGUCCCCGCUUUUCCCGAUCGGAGAAUUACUUCAUGCCCAGCAACUUCAGGGGAAGAGAAAUAACAAGCCAGAAUGUCCAUUUAUUCAUCUACAACAAAAAAUGGGCCCGAUUUGAGAGCCGAGGCCGUCUACCCAGGACAUUCCCUCCUGCCAGGGAAGCCAAACUACCAGUUAUUGUGAAAGCAUUUGUUGAGAAGGAUGCACCACAACAUUGAACACCCCUGCAUUGCUAAUCCAACAAGAAGAGGACCGUGGUUCUAGAGCAUCUCUGAGAGCCACGGUAACAGACUUUGCCUGAGUGAAAAUAAGCUUUGCUGUGCUUCUUAGGAAAGUUCAGUAACCAUUCUACUAGAUCAUAACCACAGACGGUGCAUUGUUCACCUCUGUUUCUUGGCACCCGGCUCAGUGCCUGGCAUCGACCAGGUGCUCAGUUGAAUGUGUGACGCCUGAAUGUGUCAGGGAAUCCUGUGUUGCUAAAUAAACCACAAGUUUGGCUUUUGAUAAAGUAUG